rnacentral:rRNA from 1 species
GAUCAUGGCUCAAGAACGAACGCUGGCGGCAGGCCUAACACAUGCAAGUCGAGCGCGCCCUUCGGGGUGAGCGGCGGACGGGUUAGUAACGCGUGGGAACGUACCCUUUGGUAGGGAGUAGCCACUGGAAACGGUGAGUAAUACCCUAUGAGCCCUUCGGGGGAAAGAUUUAUCGCCAAAGGAUCGGCCCGCGUUAGAUUAGGUAGUUGGUGGGGUAAUGGCCUACCAAGCCUACCGAUCUAUAGCUGGUUUUAGAGGAUGAUCAGCAACACUGGGACUGAGACACGGCCCAGACUCCUACGGGAGGCAGCAGUGGGGAAUCUUGGACAAUGGGGGCAACCCUGAUCCCAGCCAUGCCGCGUGAGUGAAGAAGGCCUUAGGGUCGUAAAGCUCUUUCGCCUGUGAAGAUAAUGACGGUAGCAGGUAAAGAAACCCCGGCUAACUCCGUGCCAGCAGCAGC